rnacentral:rRNA from 1 species
GUCUAUGGCCGUGCCACCCUGAACAAGCCUGAUUCUGUCUGUUCUUGGAAGCUAAGCAGGGUCGAGUCUGGUUAGUACUUGGAUAGGAGACCACCUAGGAAGACUGGGUGCUAUAGAUG